ensembl:lncRNA MIR924HG MIR924 host gene
GUCCAAAGGUAGGAAUCGUAAGAGUGUACAGAAAUAAGUCACAUGCAGACCAUAUUGAAAUACGCAGAGAAUUCCAUGGAGACUCUGAUGGCUAGGGCACCGUUGAGCUGUUGCAACUGUUCUGCUGGAGCCUUAUGUAUGUGGUUGAAACCACCUGUACUACUGGAAUGAAAGCACCUUUACAGAAGAGGCAAUGCAAGUUGUAUUCAUCACAUGUGUAGAAUGAAUUAAGAUUUAUGCCAGUUGCAAAGAAGAAUAUUGGCUCACUAUUUUUCCUCUGGGCAUACCUCCAGUGUGGGAAGACGCAGGAGGAGCAAGGGAUUCAGUUCAACCACCAAUGGCCAAAGACUCAAUCAACGAUGCCUGCAUCAUGAAGCCUCAACAGAAACUCUUGAACAAUGAGGUUUGAGAAGCUUCUGCGUCUGUGACCAUAUCAAUGGCCUGGGAGGCUGGCACACACAGAGGGCAUGGAAGUGCUGUGUACUCCUCCCCAUACAUUUCCCUAUACAUCUUUUCCUUUUGGCUGCUUGUGAGUUGUAUUCUUUUUUGUUGUUGUUGUUUUUAAGAUGGGGGUCUUGCUCUGUUGCCAGACUGGAGUGCAAUGGUGCGAUCUCAGCUCACUGCAGCCUCCACCUCCCAGGUUCAAAUGAUUCUCCUGCUUCAGCCUCCUGAGUAGCUGGGACUAUAGGUGUGCACCACCACACGCAGCUAAUUUUUGUAGUUUUAAUAGAGACAGGGUUUCACCAUGUUGGCCAGAUGGUCUCGAUCUCUUGACCUCAUGAUCCGCCUGCCUCGGCCUCCCAAAGUGCUGAGAUUACAGACGUGAGCCACCGCGCCCGGCCAAGUUGUAUUCUUUAUAACAAAACUGUAAUCUUAAAUAUAGCACUUUCCCAAGUUCUGUGAAUUGUGCUAGUGAAUUAUUGAACUUUAGGGUGAAAUGUUUUGGGAACCCCAAAUUUGCAGUCUUUUGGAAAAAAAGUGAAGGUAACUUGGAGAUACCGAAAACUUGCAACUGAAGUCUGAAGUGGGAGCAGUUUUGUGGGACUGAGCCCUUAACCGGUAGGGUCUCCACUAACCCUGGAUACUUCAUAUCAGAAUUAAAGGACUUUGUCUUUAACUUGUAGGGUCUAUACUAACUUCAGGUUAAACUGAAUUGUAGGACAUCCCUUUGGUGUCAGAAAGUUGUUGUGGAAAAGAUGCAAUUUUUAAGAUAUUUUGAUAUGUUAAAAGAACAUUGAAAAUAAGAAAAAGACAUUGAAUUUUUAAAAAUUAUUGAUUUACUCUGAAAAUCUUUGCUUGGGGACAUCACAGGGACUUAUACUAUUUUAUACACACUUUAGGAAAUCAUUUGAUAAAAACUGCUUCCAUAUACUUAAUAUUCUGUGUCUACCCUAUGUUAGGCACUUGUGAAUAAAGCAAGAGGAAUAAAAUGUUUAAAUGCA